UGCUUUUUUAUUGGAAAUCUUUGCAAGAAUGGCUACUACUUUGCAUACGAGUAUGAGUGUCUCUCCGUCUGUUUCUCUUGUUCUGUCUGCUGUUCAAAGAGUUGUUAAUGAUGACAUGUUCACUAAAGUCUCCAGUCAGAAUGCAAGGGCUGUCCUUUUAGCUGGGACAAUGAUGACAGAGUGGCUGAAGAACUCGUCUCACGAGCAACAGGCUGAUAAGUUUUGCUCCACUCUUGUUUCCUCCAUUCGUGGUUGCAUUCCCAUUGAUAUGAAGUCAACUGCAGCCUCAAGGGAGUCUUUCUGGCAGCGAUACCACCGGUUCCCUUUACUAUCUAUGACUAGACAGCAGCGCAGGCAAAAUGAAAAGAUCUCGAGAACAAGGACAAACUGAACCAAGGGUGUCUUCCCAGUCUUCCCCUAGUACUCCAAGACAGCCUUCCAAAAGGCACAGACCUCCAACAGCAACUUGUCCGGUCCCCUCUUUCAGUUAGGUCUCUAAAUCAACAGAGUCCUGAUUCUCAACUGAGAAGUACUGCAAGAAAGAGUUUGAGCUUCACAAAUUCUCAAUCAAGGGUAAAAACAAUAGCUUACUGAUUAUAUGUGUCUUGAUGCAUGUAUCUAGGCCGCAAUCGCAUGGAGUUUGGAUGAGCUCAAGCAGCUAACUAGUUAUGUGUGUUGUGCUGGCUUCAAAGACAGGUGGCCAGCAUUUGGAAGAAAACAUCAGUUUUGAAAUAUACCUCUGAAUUUCUUUUUGUAAACAUGGAAGCAGUACGCACAGCUGAUGCCUGUCAAAACACUGUUCAGAGGGAGCUGUAAAAUCGUUUCUCCUCUCCUGACAAUGCCAAAGCUGAAUACAAUUUGACCAAUAAAACAAACUCUUCUUGCCCAAUGAUGAACAAUUGUGUUUUAUCAGGCACUGGUCAGACAAUAUCAGAGCUCUGUCGAGAAGAACAGAUCGGUGUGGUGACUAAGCUGUUCCAGAAAUAUGCACUUCUUUAUUAUGAAAGAGUUUAUCCUUCCAUUCUCUCUCUUGAGGCUAUGGUGCAAUUGGAUCGUGGUGGUGGAACCAAUGUGAUGUACAACUUGGUGAAAGCAAUAGGCACGAAGAGACCUAACAGUAUGAGAAACGGAAUGACCCCGAUCUGCCGUAUUUUUAUUAUACCUCCAACCACGACCGCUUCUAUGAGGGUGACAUACCUGAUUUUGACAUUCCAUCCACACAAUCACCUAUAUAGGAAAAUGUCUAGAGUCCCGAGAGCUGAAUCGAUGGCCACUUCUACGUUUUCAAGUGGGAAGUCCUCCCUUCCAUCACACAAAACUCUUCAUACAAGAGCGAUUUUUCACAAUCCACCAGAAGAAAGAGCUGCCGCCACCACCUAAUAUUCCCACUUACAUCUCCGAACACUCGUAUGUCUAACUUUCGAGGACGUAUAAUUGCUAUUAUGUAUUCUUUACCUUGUAUUCUUUAUCAUACGUCAUUUGCAUGCGUUAAUUAUCCAAUGUCAUACGUUCAGAAUUAUAACAACUGUGACAGAUAAUGACCAUACAAUUAUUGCAAGUUGCAGUUCAAGUAAAGGUGCUACAACAUCUUUUAACCUUUAUCGACCAUUCUCCUCUCCGAGUGACUCCAAUACAAGCAUAAUAGCCAGGCGGUUUCUUCCAAAGCUUGAACUUUACCCACACGAACUCGACUACUAAUAUGUCCCCUUGUUUGAUAGCUGUGUGUACUUCCUCAAAUUUCAGAAACAACAUAACCAAUUGUCCGCCAAACCCCAUUAUAUAUUAUGAAGGCACUGAAAAGAAAUUGCCUCAGGAUCAACAAUAUUCUCUGGCUCAGGUUUCAUCUUCACUGGAACAAUGUCACCACUUUUAAUUAUAUCCUUAACUUCAUGGAGAAUGUUCUGAUACUCCGUAUCACAAGUGACACCUAUGCAUUUAAAUGAAACAUAGCUCUCUUAAGUGUCUUCUUCUUGGGAUGCAAACUCUUCACUAGAUAUUCUGUCACACACACUACUAUCAGUAUCAUCGUCACAGUUUCCAUCAUUAAGUAGCCAAUCCCAUACGAUUAGAAAACCAAGCUUGUCAAAAGCCUUUAGGUGUCGUACAUACACAACUUUACAAAACUCUUCAACCUGUAAGAGAAGUAUAUAGUAUUUAAGUAUGCGCAAGUACAACAAAAUUGGGAAGCAACUUACAUCAACAAAACAAUGGUCUUUAAUAGUGAUAGCAAAAGGGGUGGUAGACGGUCUAGAAGGGUCUGGAAAGCUCUGGUCUGAUCUCAAGAAUCCAUCAUACACACGUACAGAUCCAUCUAAAUGUUCAAACUGAAAUGUUCCUUGCCUCAGUUCAACUUCAAUUACUGAAAAGCUUGGAAUUCUACACAGGGGCGAUCCUAGGAUUCAGUCAAUGGAGGUGCUCAUUGCGCGCGAAGCGCGCGCAAAAUUUAAACCACGCCCACUUCCGGAGUCACGCCCCUUUUGUCGGCAACGCCCACUGUUUUCUAGAUGGUGCACAGUACUGACAGUAUAUACAACAGUACAGUGCCAUCAGCAAGUCAAGAAUGUUUAUGACCAGAAGCUCAAUUCGCCUGGGAUGGCAAACUCUAGCCAACUCUUCUUAAGGCCACUAAAAGAUUGAUCAGCUUACCAGGAGGUGACAGGCAGCGUACAAAGUAUGACCACCAGUACCUUGAUGUUGAGGAAAAGAGACUUUGUAGUAGCGAUGUCAGACCGAUUUUCAUUUUUGCUAUUUCUAACUCCUAUGUAUUACUAUCUCUUUUGAACACUCUAGGCAAACCAGAAAAACUUUACUGCACUGGAUUUGGUCAAGCGAAUGCAGAGAUACAGAGUUUUGAAGAACACUAGUCAGGGAAAAAUUCGUACAAAAAUUUACCGCAUUUUAAUGUACUUGGGCGGGACUUAUGAAAUUUGUUGUUAAUACCGGAAAUGAUCUUAAAGUUAGCAUAUCUGCUGAACCGCUUGGUCUAUUCUCUUUUAAAAAAGUAUGAAAUGGACACUCAGGACUCAGGAGUUAACAUUGUAACCAUUUGAUAUCUAUUAUGAAGUUUAUAAUGUUUCUGUAAUGUAUAUCUUUAUGAUGUCCCUAUAAUAGUAUGAUGUCUCCUGCUUCAGAGAGUUCUUUUGGAUUUAAAGUAACCAUGCUAUCUUUUCUUUCGUACAGUAUAUUGUAUCAUGUUUCAGAACUCUCAUCAAUGUCCACCUUACGCUUGUAUCUGUUUCUUGAUCUUUAUAAGCAAUUUUUCUGUCAA